rnacentral:tRNA from 1 species
AAUUAAUAAGCUAUGCUAAAAGCAUAUAUUUUGAAAAUAUAGAAAAGAAUAAAUUAUUCUAUUAAUUU